rnacentral:rRNA from 1 species
GACGGAGGAUGCAAGCGUUAUCCGGAAUGACUGGGCGUAAAGCGUCCGCAGGUGGCCGUUCAAGUCUGCUGUCAAAGCCCGGGGCUUAACUUCGGAAAGGCAGUGGAAACUGAACAGCUAGAGUAUGGUAGGGGCAGAGGGAAUUCCUGGUGUAGCGGUGAAAUGCGUAGAGAUCAGGAAGAACAUCGGUGGCGAAGGCGCUCUGCUGGACCAUAACUGACACUCAGGGACGAAAGCUAGGGGAGCGAAUGGG